CCCUUAGAUGUCCUGGGCCGCACGCGCGUUACACUGAUGCAUUCAACGAGCUUAUAACCUUGGCCGAGAGGCCUGGGCAAUCUUGUUAACGUGCAUCGUGAUAGGGAUAGAUUAUUGAAAUUAUUAAUCUUGAACGAGGAAUUCCUAGUAAACGCAGAUCAUCAAUCUGCAUUGAUUACGUCCCUGCCCUUUGUACACACCGCCCGUCGCACCUACUGAUUGGAUGGUCCGGUGAAGCCUCGGGAUUGUGGUUCUUGCCGCUUUAUUGUGGCGUGACCGCGAGAACUUGUCUAAACCUUAUCAUCUAGAGGAAGGUGAAGUCGUAACA
rnacentral:rRNA from 1 species